AUGUCUUUUAUUGGAAGGAGAGAGAGAGUUAACAUUGACUAUAACUUUGUGAAUAAUGUAUUUAAUUGCUAUGGUUUUCUAAAGAGCCUCGCCGACAUUACCAUACUCGCUAGACGAUCUAUUGACACAAACACUGUCUUUCAUCUGCAAACAUCGACGAAAGUGCGUGUUUGUUGUUAUUUUACUAGAAGAUUCAUAUCCAUAUGUUGGGUUAUGAUGCAACUUCAGUUUAGAUUUUCACCGAUAGUAUUUGUUAGUUUUCAGAGUUUUGGUUUUCUUGAAAGAUACAAUUGA